rnacentral:misc_RNA from 1 species
GUCCAUCCUUUUUCAUCUGUUUCCUUGGCCAAGUUACUCCAUUUCUCCAAUAGCUGGUCUAUCAUCAUAUACACAGUAUAUCCAGAGUAAUAUUCAGUCCGUUUUUUUUGGUCCUUUUCUUUGGCCAUGGAUCUGUAUUUCUCCAAUAGCUUGUUUCUCUUCCCUUCGUCUUUGAAGUCCUCAUCUCCGAAGUGCAACAUUGUUGCCUCAUGUAAUGCCGUUUUAC